rnacentral:misc_RNA from 1 species
UCCGGUUUGUCACCGGCAGUCUCGUUAGAGUGCCCUUGCGUAGCAACUAAUGAUAAGGGUUGCGCUCGUUGCGGGACUUAACCCAACAUCUCACGACACGAGCUGACGACAGCCAUGCACCACCUGUGAAAGUGCCCCGAAGGGAGACCGUGUUUCCACGGCUGUCACUCACAUGUCAAACCCAGGUAAGGUUCUUCGCGUUGCGUCGAAUUAAUCCACAUAAUCCACCGCUUGUGCGGGCCCCCGUCAAUUCCUUUGAGUUUCAGCCUUGCGGCCGUACUCCCCAGGCGGGGUACUUAUUGCGUUAGCGACGGCACCGAAGGGGUCGCUCCCCCCGGCGCCUAGUACCCAUCGUUUACGGCGUGGACUAC